CAUGCCGCCGUGUGUGAAGAAGGCUUCGGGUUGUAAAGCACUUUCAGUCGUGAGGAAGGUAGUGUAGUUAAUAGCUGCAUUAUUUGACGUUAGCGACAGAAGAAGCACCGGCUAACUCCGUGCCAGCAGCCGCGGUAAUACGGAGGGUGCGAGCGUUAAUCGGAAUUACUGGGCGUAAAGCGCAUGCAGGUGGUUUGUUAAGUCAGAUGUGAAAGCCCGGGGCUCAACCUCGGAAUAGCAUUUGAAACUGGCAGACUAGAGUACUGUAGAGGGGGGUAGAAUUUCAGGUGUAGCGGUGAAAUGCGUAGAGAUCUGAAGGAAUACCGGUGGCGAAGGCGGCCCCCUGGACAGAUACUGACACUCAGAUGCGAAAGCGUGGGGAGCAAACAGGAUUAGAUACCCUGGUAGUCCACGCCGUAAACGAUGUCUACUUGGAGGUUGUGGCCUUGAGCCGUGGCUUUCGGAGCUAACGCGUUAAGUAGACCGCCUGGGGAGUACGGUCGCAAGAUUAAAACUCAAAUGAAUUGACGGGGGCCCGCACAAGCGGUGGAGCAUGUGGUUUAAUUCGAUGCAACGCGAAGAACCUUACCUACUCUUGACAUCCAGAGAACUUUCCAGAGAUGGAUUGGUGCCUUCGGGAACUCUGAGACAGGUGCUGCAUGGCUGUCGUCAGCUCGUGUUGUGAAAUGUUGGGUUAAGUCCCGCAACGAGCGCAACCCUUAUCCUUGUUUGCCAGCACUUCGGGUGGGAACUCCAGGGAGACUGCCGGUGAUAAACCGGAGGAAGGUGGGGACGACGUCAAGUCAUCAUGGCCCUUACGAGUAGGGCUACACACGUGCUACAAUGGCGCAUACAGAGGGCGGCCAACUUGCGAGAGUGAGCGAAUCCCAAAAAGUGCGUCGUAGUCCGGAUCGGAGUCUGCAACUCGACUCCGUGAAGUCGGAAUCGCUAGUAAUCGUGGAUCAGAAUGCCACGGUGAAUACGUUCCCGGGCCUUGUACACACCGCCCGUCACACCAUGGGAGUGGGCUGCAAAAGAAGUAGGUAGUUUAACCUUCGGGAGGACGCUACCACUUGGUUCCA
rnacentral:rRNA from 1 species